UUGUCUAUAAAAUGCAUUACUGAACAUUUUGUGUGGUCAUGCCUUUGCUCCCUGUAUUGCAUUUCCACAGUAUGAUCAACUUUUUCUCCUUCCUGCCCUAGUACCAAUGACCCCAAUGGCUUAUAAGAAAUUCUCUUAUCCUUCCACAUCAUCUGCUUUCUCAUGCUUUACUCCAAAUAUCCCCCAGAAUAACUUCUCCUGUUACUUACCACUCUUCUCACAAGGUGGCAGUGAAAAGUGAAGUAGAUUUACAAUUACUUUGUCUCAAAGGCACUGCCUUUAAUGCCAAUCCUAAUCUAAUGGUUGGUAGCAAGCCUCUGAAAACCUUAUUUUCUUCUCCUUUUUCCUUAGAGUCUUUAAAAACAACCUCAAAGACUUCAUAGAGAAAUUUUUCCCCAGGACAUGCCCUGUGCAGAGCCUCACAUUUAAUGCCCACACUGACAGUACCGGCUACAGGCUUUUCAGAUCAUGGCCAAAGACUACUGAAGUCACUGAAAAACAGUGGCGUAUGAAGAACACUGUUACUUUCAAGAAAGUGGAAGACACAUUUUGUGGAAGCACAGACCAGGAUAUAGUCUGAGGAUUCUCGCUCUAUCACACCGAAGGCAUUCUGACAAUACAGCAGUACCCAGCCAAUUUGCUUCUUCCUUCUGGAGCCUUUGCAAACUUGAAUGUUUGCUUCAUAUGUUAUUGUUGAAGGAUCAGUACAUACAAAAAAGUUAAAUGCAUGUCCUCAAAACUACUGAGAAGGAAUUGAGGGCAGCCUAGAACAGGAUCUGCAGUUGAGAGCAGAGAUGUCUGACUCUAGAAACUUCUGGAGGCUCACCGUAGUCCACUGAGUGCUCUCCACCUCCUCAUCCAGGGACCCCAACGAGAGGGAUGAAAUAUGCACAUCUAUAAAAAGUCUACAUGCUUCCACUCAAGGAAAGCCAGGUAACUGGGCAGUGCAAAGUGUUGAUGCCUAAAUCCUUAGUUUAAUAGGGAGGGAAAUAUGAGUAUAGAAGCUGUCCCAGCACUGCAGGGAGCUGAAAAGCUUUGGUUUGUUAUAAGCUCUAAAGGUAACAUCUCAAUUUUACAAGUAAUGUUAAUCAGGAAGCUGUUAGGGGAAAGGGCUAAAUUGUUAUUAAAAAUCACAGAAGGAUAUGUAAUUAAAUUUGAAUGAAAAGACUUCUAACUAACCAGAGCUUUGAUCCAAGUCCUUACAAUGGUUACAAGUUGUGGCAAUUACUUCGCAUCUUCCCAAAAUAUAAAGGCACAGUGAAGACUUUUCUCUGACAUCACAGAGAAGAAUAAAUUAAACAAGAGACCAAGAUCAGUACAGGAUUUCAGUUGAAUUUGCAUUUAGGCUCCAAAAUCAAUCCUGAAAAUGUCUUUUGCAGCUGCUGCUGGACACUGAAGGUACUUAGGUAAGACAAACACUUUGACUUCUUUGGGCAAACUGAACUGCUGAACUGUUUAACUAACAACCACCAGAAGAUCUGUUUCUGGUUACUUGUGGUAUUGUCUUUGCUGAGAGGAUUGAGGGGUUGGGUGCCUGGAUCCCACGUCUCCUCCUGUUCUGCAGCUGUACAGAAAGAGCCCAACACCCUGGCCCAACAGGUCACCAGCCUCUGAGCUGCUGCCGGAGCACCACAUGUGUUGCACACAUCCAUAGGAUUGGCAUUCAGAUGUAAUUGAGUCAUAUCUCCACCUGGGGAGGCAAAGUUGACCUGACUGUAAGAGAAAGGUAUGACUUUCUGUCCUAAGAGUUUGAACAGUAAUUCAAGAACAAGGAGCCCCAAAACCAAGAUCCCACUCUCACAAUUUUACAUCUCUCAUCUGGUGGCUUUUUCAGUCACUGGCCAGUGGAAUAGUUUCAAUAAGAGCAGAGGAACAUAGCAUUCAUAUUUUGCUAAAGUCUGAUGAUAAAAGAGAUGGAAAAUAGUGGCAAGUUUCCCUUUAGUAAGUAGAUUAUAACUUCCCUGCAUAAUUUCUGAGUAUAUAUAAAGUGUUAGAGCAGAUCUCUCCUUUUUUUUUUUUUCUCUUUUUUUUAGACUUGGCAUUUAUGUUAGCAUGAGAAUUUUUCACUAAAGUACAGGAAAACAUCUUCGUUAUUGAACUUAAAUAAGUUUUAAUUUUGUAUUUUUUUUUUUUUUUUUUAGUUUUGCAUUUCUCUUGGCCUUUUUCAGUAUUUCUUUUGGACUUUCUCUUUUUUCAUUCAGCUUGUCUGAGAGAGGAGGAGCAAAAUUCAUAGUUUCCUGGGUUCUGCAAGGCAUAAUGAGAAGAGGCUUUAUGAAGCAUAUUGUUGUUUUGGCUCUCAAGGGAGGCAAGCAAAAUCUGUUAUCUGUAAAUUUCUCUCUAUAACAUAAGGAAAACUUAGUUUUUCAGAAGUAUGGUAUGUAGCUAAGUUUAAUAAAGCUAGUGAGGUAUUUAUAUAUAUAUGUCUGUGGUCUGAGAGAAAAUAAUUGUCAAAAGUAAUGUGAAUGGAAUGGAACAGAGAGGAAUGAGAGCAUGCAAUGAGUGAUAGAGCCACAGAGCAAUGUAAUUUAACAAAGCAGAUGAAGGAAUAGAGACCAACCUGCUCAGCUCAGGGAGCUGCUGGCAGCUUGCUUACCUCAUGCUGAAUGCUGCUCAUUGUUUAAUCAGUCAAGAUAUAACUCCUCUGACUGUGUUUGGGGAAUCGAGGGAAGAAAUACUGAAAACAUACUUUUCUGUAUUAGUUCCAAGGCUCAAUUCUGACACCUCUUUACUACUGUCAUAUGUGACUUUUAUGAGUCACCCCAACAAUAGAGCACAGUUAUUCAGGGUCAGAGUAUUCCUUGUCACACUUACAAAUUGAAAAGGAAGUGAAAAUAAGGAAUCAGUCAUAGGACUGGUCAAGCAGCAAUUUUCCAUCACCACACAGGCAAUGUAGGAGAAAUGGUCCCUCUGUUAGUUUGCCCCAGCAGGGCAUUUUAGAGUGUGAUCUGGGUGAUAACAUCAGUGUUAAGAAUAUGUUUGCACUGGCCAAGUCUUAUGUGCUGAGCAUGCUGCCAACACUGCUAGUUCACGUUAGGCUUCCACUUCCUCCUUUUCAAGUAUAAAACUGUGCUUUUUUUUUUUCCCAUCUCUGAAACCGUAUAUAAAUUUCACUGCCUCUGUGUUGUAGUCCAGUGGACAAAGUAUUGGAAGGGAUAUUAGAAAGCUCUCUAACAGCAACCCAGCAUGAGAGAGGCUCCCACUCACUGGGAGGAAAGACAGUGAUCCGUCAGUCAUGGGACAUAAAAGAAUGAAUGGAGAAUGGAAACUACAUUAUUUCAAGCUAAAAUUAAAGCUCUGGAUAACUUCGUUUCACCUCUGAUUAAUUUAAAACUUUGAUUAACCAGGUCUGGCUUUUCUUUAAUAGAGACCAGAAUUACAUUUUCUCUGUAACUUAUUUAUGCUUACAAAUAAGCUGGCAAGCCAAAUGAGUCAAUGUGGUCUCUUAAGUCCAGGUCUUUACAGGUCCUGGCAAAAGAAAUGUUUACGCAUAUUUCAGCCAACGUAUUCCCAUCGGAGAAAAUUCUGAUUACUUCACCUUUAUGUCCUCUCUGAUUCUACUGACUGCUUUGUCUCACAAAUGGAAGAGAUAUAUCUAAUUAAAUCAUAAAUAUCACCAUCCUGUGUCUUGGUGCUCUUCCUCUUCCUCCAAAAAGAAAAGACCAAAGGCUCUUUCGUUUAAAGGCUACAAAGAUUUUAGGUGAAAUCCCAGUGUUUUUGAAGACAAUGUCAAAACUCCCACGGAGUUCAAUCAGGUCAGGGCUUCACUGCUUGGUUUUGUAAAGCUGAUGAAUAAGAGAACGUGGGAUAUGGCUAUAUACAACAGUCACAACUCACAGAACAUGAAUCAUCCACUGUAAGACCUGGCUUUUAUAAUACAAGAAAAAGGUCAUCCUGGGAAAAUGAGAGUUGCAAAUCUAAAGCUGAAAAAGGGAAGUGGUUUUGUCCUGUGCAUAGUCCCUUUAGGAACACUGUAGCACAACUUUCUCAUUUCUGAGUGAAGUGCUUAGAGUCAACAUUAGCUGCUGAACAAAACUGGGCAUAAAGUGCACAGGGCAAUGUAGUAAAAAUUAGCAUUAUAAAUGUCUCUGUACCAAUAAAAAAAGAUAAAAACAAAACCAGAUGAGAUUUGGCAAAACACUUAGUUGCAAUCACACAUUUCUGAAAGCCAGGGAAGUGACAAUUAUUGCAAUACUUUCUCAUAAAGUAUUCCCAUUUGUCAUCUUAACUCUGUGUUACACUACACAGAAGAAAAUUUGUAAGUUCUGUUGAAAAUAAAUGUGAGAAGAGAUGAUUCUAUAAAAGGGUAUAACUCUGAUUAAUCUCGUGUUUCCCAGGAACAGGACCCUGGAGAAUGGCCUGAAGUUGUGUCAGAGGAGGUUAGGCACUGGAACAGGCUCCCCAGAGAAGUGGUCACAGCACCAAGCCUGCCAGAGUUCAAGAAGCAUUUGGACAAUACUCUCAGGCACAUGGUGUGACUUUUGGGGAUGGUCCUGUGCAGGGCUAUGGGUUGGACUCGAUGAUCCUUAUGGGUCCCCCUUCCACUCAGCAUAUUCUGUGAUUCUGUGCCCUGCCACUUACUGUCCCAUUUUGCAGAGUGAUGGGAGCUUAAAGAAAUGACAAAUUUACUUGAGGCAAGCAAAAAACCAAAACCUUAUUUACCAACUUAAAAGACAGUUGUAAAGAAUGAACAAAAUAGGAACAUGGGUGUGGAGUAGGUGAUCAGAGGUCCCUUCUGACCUGAAUUGACUUUUGAUCCUGUGGAAACACAAGAAUCUGCAAACUCAAAACGCACAAGAUCUCAACCUGCUCUUAUUGCAGGAAGGGAUUUCUCUGAUGCCUUUACUGGCUGCAAGGACCCAUCUCAAUCAUAGUGCUUCUUCCAUCCUAUUUGUAGAACAUCCUUACUAAUCUGCUAAUUAGAGACUGGAUAUAUGUACUGUUGCCUUCGUUUAGGUAUCUGGAACUUGUGAAAAUUUUAAUGGUUGCUCUUCAGUUUAUCUGAAAAUUAGUGAGAUUCUUGUCUCCUUAAUACUAAUUCCUCCACCCAUAUAAAUCUUUUUUCUCCUGGGAAAUCAACUGAGUUAAGCUACAAAUCCACAGUUGGAAUAUUUUGGAAAUUAUGUAUGUGAAAGGUAUGCUUUUUUCUUCACAGUGGUCUUUCUGUGUGCUGGCUUUUACAAAGACAGUAAUAGUACCUGAAUUCAUAUAUUUUAUUUUAAAUGCACCUUGCUACAAAAUAUUAUUGGUCUCCAGAUCAGUAAUAUACUAAUAAAUCCACCCUGUUAAAAACCGUAUCUUUGGGGUUAGGACAAAACAAAACAAAGUAACAACAAAAUUAAAAUAUUUUCAUUAAAAAUUUCACAUUUUUUUUAACCUUAAAGGUUCCAUCAUUUUUCAGAAAACAUCGAUGAGGCCACAUAAUAAUAUGUCAGUUACCAUUGUCAUUGAUUGUAUCUAGUGAGUAGCAGCUCACAAUUUUCUCUUUCCAUUCUUGCUGGAUUUGUUUUAUUCUGUCAGAGGAAGAAAAAAAGAUGAAGACCUUAUCUCUGUUUUACCUGCACUUAGAAACUAAGAUGUUUGUCCAAAUUGGACACUCUAAUAUUUGUUUGAAAAGAAGUACCAGUAUUGGGAUUUUACCAAAAGGCCUUGGACCAAAUCCUGCAGCACACUGAGUCUGUAAUAGCAGACUUAUUAUAUAACUGAUUCAGCUUUGAUUUAGUUCAGAGCAUCUGGCUUUUAAUUGCAUAGAAAUCCAUAAGCCAGGAGGGAAGGGAAAAGAAUCAUUGUGACUCAUCUAAAGAUUUAGAUAGCAGAGUCAUUUUUGGGGAUCUUUUCCACAUGAAAUUAACCUUUGCAAAUGGUAAUUGAUACAAUCCUCUUGCUAAAAUAAGGCACCUUCUUGUAACCUGGGGAGAACUUUUUCAAAUUAUAGACAACACCUCCACUGCAGAUAAAUUCAGUAAUUGAAGCUACUGACCAUAUUUAAGAAAGAAAAUCCAAAUGUAGAGCCUACCUAAAAGAGUAGAUAACAAAAAUGGUUCAUUUAGCUACAGUCUCAUUUUAGUACUUCUGCUUUAAGAAUUUUGAUGGAGAAUAUUCCUUUAGGAUGGCUCCUUCUGCAAUAGGAUUGAAAUUGUUUAUUUCAUAAAAUAAUAUUGACUGUUACCUUACUGUAUUACAGAUAGGAAAAUAGUUUCUGGUAAGGAUUGGGAAAUUUUGCUUUAAAUAUUUAUGGAUGAUUUAAGAGAAUUUGUAAAGGGGAGAAGUGUACUGAUCUUACCUGAAUCUAUAACAUCAAAAUAAGUUUUAAAAGCCAUUAUUUAAAAAAAUCCAUUAUUGAGAUUGUUCAGGAAUAGGCAAGCCAUUCAUAUAGAAAUUAAAAUCUGAUUAAUUUCCUCUUUUUCAGAGAACCAAAAAUCAGUUUGAGCAUGUUUUUCUAAAUAAGGUAUAGCAAGGAAACAUGAUUUAACACUUUAAGCUAUAAUUUUUAUUUUUUUUAAUUUGUUUUUAUUCUAGAAUAUUUUUGAGCUAUAAAAUAAUGUCAGCUGGGGCAUGUUUAUCACAAAUUUUACUUGUUAUCACUUAAGACAUGAUUAAAAUUUAUCAUUUUGACCUCUCAUACCCUUACAAAAAAAACCAAAACACCAAACCAAAACACAACCCCCCUGAAUAAGUCAUUGACAUCUCUAUAAGGAAAAAAAAAGUACUUUCAUAAUUUGGCAGACCCCUAUAACUUUAUCUCCUCACCAACACUUGAGCUAGAUAUCUUACAUAUUUCCAGUGUGGCCUUGUCUUGCUUCCUUGGGCCUAAAAUGAAUAGAAAACCGUGGACUUCAUGGAGCUAUGAAUAAAACCAUUAAUAGUAAUUUUAUCUAAUCACUUAAUCCUUUUUGUUUUGGUUUGGGUUUUUUUAAUACCUAUUCCUCUAUCUUCAUCUGCAAAGAAUGAAACUUUGCCUUCUAAGUGACUGCACUCUGAACUAAGACAAUACCUUUAAAAUGCUGUUCUGGUGGUUUUUGUUUGUUUGUUUGUUCUUUUAGAUGUUUUCACAGAAAAAAUCGACCCACAAUUUGGGAAAAUAUUAGAGGCUUGGUAUGUUUUCACAUAUAAUAUAUAAAUACAGACACAAUUGUCACUCACCGAGGAGGCUCAAAUAUCUUUGAAGCUUGGGCAGAGUGCUUGUUACCUUUUGGGUUUUUUCUAGGUUAAGAUGUUCACACAGUCCUUUUUUAAUGCCUAUGACAUGCUUGUAAUCAUACUAUAACCGAUGCCAAUAAAUAUGUACAGAAUCAGCUUUAUUUUCUUCUCUGGUAUAAUAAUUAGAUGAAUUUUUCAUGGAAGUUACUGGUUUUAUAUUUGAUAUAAAAAGUUAUUAAUAUCAAAGCCUUCAUAAGCUGGCUAAAUCCAUCUAAAAUUAUAAAUGCCAUCUUCAACCUUUAUCCAUGUUGAACAGUAGAACUGAAUUAAAUAUUGCUUCAGGAUCUGGAAAUAGCUAGAAGCUUCAUUUUUAGACUCCUUUUUUUCCUGUAUUUUUCUGACAGCUAGAAUUUUCAACCCAUAGUUUGUUCUUUCAACCCAUAGGAACCAGUUCAUGCCAGAAUUAAAGCUUGGUCUCUAAAUAACCUGUGCCAGAUAUUUGUAAAUUAUAUUACCCAUGAAAUCUGAGCAUAAAGUUCUGCAGCCUUCACAAGUACAUACAAAGUGUCCAAGAUUUGAACAGGUACUCAAAAUGUAAAUAUUAUUAUCAUCAAAAACAUGAAUUUUUAGGGUUGGCUACUAAUAAUCCAAAUUCUUUGUUUUCUUUUCUCUUCUCAUUUUGUUUAAGACUGUUUUAUUGCAUCUCUUUAAUUUAGUUAUAUGUGGAAAGCAAGUCCAGUCCUAUAAAAAUCCUUUCUUCCUGGAACUGGACUUCCAAGGCUCCCCACCCUUGUCAGUGAGUACAUUGAAGUAUAAUCUGGUAGAGAUUUAAGCAAGGCAAUGAGCAUGAGCAAAUUGCUUUUUUCUUAGGAUCUUCCAGUCAUCGCUGCCUUAACAGAAUGAAUAUGUUCUCUCUUUCCCUUACAGAUGCCCUUUUCCUCAGGUGCAUUGCAUUUUGGAUGUUUAGACAUUCAAAGGUCAAAUUGUGCCUUGACACACAGCUUGUACAGCCCUGACCUGUGAGAUUGUACAGUGUGACACAUUUACAACUGUUUGCCUCACUAGCUAAAGAAUGAUGACAAAAAGAGUUACUAUUUUAAGGCAAAAUCUUACAUUUUAGAAAAAAUCAUUACAAGUGCAGACAACUUGUGACUGGUAUUUGGUCACAUCAGAGAGCAUUCAGCUGAAAGGCGGCAGUGCUGACUGACACUGUGCCUCAGCCAAAGAGCACAGAACCACGGGAAUUAGAAAGAAAAUUAUACCACAGCACAAAAAUGCACCUUUCCAGCUGAAGAAGCAGCUGGGAGAUCAUAGUAAUCUAUGCUUUUAACUUCUGUUUGUUUUCAGUGGUGUGAAAUUUCCAUGGCAGACUGGUAAGCAUAAUGAAAAAUCGAAACACCAAACAGGGGAGUGAGCAGAAAAAAAAGGGCUGUGAGAGUCAGCUUUCCAUUUGGAACAAAGCUGGGCAUCGUCAGACAGCUGGCAGGAAUUAUUCAUGUUUGCCAGACCACCCAAUAGAUGAGCACAGCACAUGAAGAAGAGAUGAGAAGGCACAUACAGGAGCAUGAAUAAUGCUCUGGGCUCUGAUUGCAGGUUGCACUCCCUAAACAUGCUGCAGAGACAAAUGCCUGUGCUUUGCAAACAGGACACAUUUGCGACUUGUUGAUAAUAUUUAGGAUUGAAAUGUCUUUGUGUUCUUAUGCCUAACAGCAAGGGCUACCAAAUAAUAUAUAAUUGGGAAAAUUCUAUUGCUUUCUCUGAAAUAACUUACUCAUUUAUAAAAGCCUUUCUUACAAUUUCUAGGCAAAACAAAGCACUACCAUGUGCUGAAAGUCAUUCUUACAUGCGUUUUGCUCCUUAGCCAAGGGUGGUGUCUCAUUAAGAGUUACCAUUUAAACAUUUUAGUGUUAAUGUGCAACCAAGGAUGCUAUGAUGACAUUUUAAAUUUUCUUCACUGUUCUCAACAGUAUCCCUUUCUAUAUUUUUACUUCAAGUAUUUUUUACAGUUCAAGAUUUUGUUUGACUAAAGCUCAUUAAAAUUAAGACCACUUAUUUUACAUUUUUUACUAUAUGUCUAUAGAACACACUUUAAGCAUUGUAUCAUAAUGAUAAACUUGUAGUCCUGUUUUCUACCAAGUGUGUGUUUGCCACCAAGUAUCUUGGUAUUAGAACCCUUGCUUUGUACUCUCCUUGGUAACCCUAGAGAAGAGAAGAGAUAAGUCUCAAAAGAAUAAGCUAACAAUAAAUAAAUAACUCGAUUUUUCAGGAAAAGAGAUGCUACCUUAUAAGUCUAAUUUCAUACUGUAUGCCUUUUUUACGAAGAAAAAUGAUAUUCUGUGGCUAUAUAAGGUGUGCUUGGUGUUCAGGAUCGGUGAACAUGACAUGGUAUUAUUUGCUAAUCAUUCGGGUGCACAUCCUUGGGAUUUCUAUUUUUCUUUAUAAAUUAGUAAUGGACAGAAUAAAAAGAGGACGAAGUAGGGGCAGAGAAGAAAAUAAAAAUCAAGUAUAAAAAAAGGUGCUGUAGUUUCUGGAACAAUCCAAAAAUAGUAAGGCUUAUAAGGAAAGUGAGACUAUUAUUAUUUUUAUGAUUUGUUUCAUGUAUCAUACUUUUUAAAAAUUAAGAAAUAGCCUGGAGGUGAAAAAAGAAAAAGAUAAGAUAAAGAUGUAACAAAACCCAGGACAGGUUAUGGAAUGGUCUCAUACAAUAACUAUAUUUUGUUGGAGAUAAACAACAAUUAAUGCAUGAAAUUGAAAGCAGAAAAAACCAGUUGUGUCAGAUUCUUAAAUAGAGUGGGACCUGUCAAAUAUUUUUUGAUGAUUGGUGACCUGGAAGUCUUACAGCCUAUUUUAUCUGCAUUGGUUCAGACUCACAGUACUGGAAAGUCAAUAUCUGUGUCCUAAUGCAGCUUCUAUAUAUUACUCCCUUUGUGCUCCUGGAUCUACAAUAAGCCACUGCGUUUUACAGUAAUAUGUAAAAGAAAAUCCGGAUCCUUAAGUGUAUCUUAUUGCUCUAUAAUAUGUCAAACCAAAGCGGGUGUGUGAGUUGAUUUUUUUCAAAUAGUUUAUUUAUAAAACUUGGAAAACAUGGAACAACAAAGAGUAUAUUUUUUUUAGAGAGUUGAAAAGUAUGCAAAACCCAAAUUUGCACAGAAUUAACAUUCUGACAGUCAGGAAAUGAAAAGAUAAAUAAAUUUAAUGCAAGAAUAAAAAACAUAUACUUUUAAAAUGUCAUGAUACUAGGAAAAUACUGUAGGUCAUUCCAAAGACUAGGAUCCCACAUUCUUAAAAAUAAAUAGAUUAUUUAUUUGAGCUGUCAAUCUGACUGAUGAUCUGCACAAAACCUAGUAGUAAAAUUUUCGUUAAACCUUUUAUCAUCAAUUCAAUCAUUCUUCAGAAAGCUAUAUGGAUUUCAUUCUUCUUUCAUAAAUUAAAUUGUUCUUAGAGAAAUUCAUUGAGAUUAAAAGAUUUAUUGUUUUAUUUUAAAAAAUUAUGUUCUUAAGUGGGAUUAUCCUUUCAAAAUCACUGUAUUUAUUUUUAUUUCUGUUCUGUUAUUUUAUCUUUCUGUUUUUCAUGGCAGUACAGUUUAGUGCAUCAGUCAACAGUAAUUCACAAUAACAUAAAAAUAUUGUUGGACUUUAUCAUGUUUUAUAUUUAAAAGGACAACUGUUACUACUGACUGAAACAACUGAUCUUCUAGAAGAUAAUGUCUCCUGUAUUCUUGUAAUCAAAUGCUUUGGCUCUUCAAACACAAAAGAAGAUAAACUCAAAAUACACUAAUUACAUGACCAGCAACUUUCAAUACCUUUUGUUGGGAGGAUUUUUUUUUCUUAUUUUUAGAGUGAAAACAGUUUACCAUCUCUUUCAAUUCCUGAGUACUCAUGCUAUGUAGCAUUAAAUCCCCAAGUUACAAGUCUAGUCUCUCUUUCUGUCAAUGUAGUUUAUGGACAGAGAUGCGUAACUUCAGUCAGUAAGAGGAGAACCUUGAAACUCUAAAAGGUUUCUAGCUCACUACUCACUGAAAAAAGAUUUUGGGACAAACAGGCCGUCAAUUUAGGGACCUAAACUGAAAUGUUUAAUGUAAGCAGAGUAAAUACUAUCUUCAGCCUGUAUUGACAAGUACCUAACAAAAAUAUUUUAAAAAAUAAAUAAAAAAAUAUAUUACGCCAUAGUAUGUAUUGAAUAUAUAAUGAUAAAUUGAUCUAUACUACUUCUAGUAUAAUGUGUCACAAUUUCAUGACAUUUAAUGUGAUAGAUAUCACAUUAUACAGCAUUAACACACGCCAUGAAAUAUUGCAGUAAUAAUUCAUAUAAAGAUGAGAAAUUCAAUUCAAAACCUGUAUAUUCUUCUGAUGCAGAAUUUUUUUUUCCCCCUGAAAUAAGUAUCUUCGGUACUACUUCUUUUUGAGAAGCUUUUUUGGUGGGUUACCCAUGGCCGAUAGCCAAACAUACACCCAGCUGCUCUCUCUCACUCCCCCUCCUCAGCAGCACAGGGAUGAAAUAGGAUAAGAAAUCCCAUGGGCCAAGAUGAGGACAGAGAGACUGCUCACCUGUUAUUGUCACUGGUGGAACAGAUUCCACUUUGUGAACACUGAUGUAUUGCCAGUUUAAAUAGAUUCAGGUAGUAAGAAAGAAGGCAAGCAUUAAAACACCUUUCCCCUCAGCCAUGUCCUGCAGGGGGUGGGUGGGAGCCAGCUGGAACUAGCUAUGUCUGGCAUGGGGCAGCCCUGACCUCUCCUCACAGAGCCCCCCUGCAGCCCUGCUGCUGUUGGCACUGGGGCACCUGCACCUAGCACAUCUUUAAAGCAAUAAAACCAGAUUUUGUAUAUUUAAUAGUGCUAGAAGAGUGAAAAAUGUGAACAAGAUUUCAAACUUUUCCCUAUCUUAGAAUCAUGAAAUAGUUUGGACUGGAAGGGAUCUUUAAAGAUUAUCUGAUACAAUCCCCCUGCCACAGGCAGGGACACCUUGCACUAGGCCAGGUUGUUCUGAGCAAUGAUAUUAAAAAGGACACAUUGUCCAGUCAUGUCAAUCAUUGACAGCCCAAGCAGGACUCAAAAUAAAAUAUUCCUCUUUGCCAUAACAUCAGUUACGUUCUAGGAGAUGUUUUAAAGGGACAAUGCAGUGGAGUCCCAGAGUAGACUAGUUUCUUGUUGCUGUUUAAGAGCAGCACAAUUAAACACUUGGUAAUACUGGUAAAAAAAAAUAUAACCACAGAUUCAAAUUGGCUGGUACAGUUAUUUUACACCCCUUCAGCACCACAAAUCUCUGAUUUUAAGCUGUGUUAUGGCUUUCGAUGUUUCACAGGAACAAUACACAUUCAGAUGCACUGCUAGACACAGUAGACACAGUAGACCAUUGAGAAUGCUUUGUCUGGCAAAGGCCCCCUAUCGUCUUUCAGAGUAGAAAUAGCUAUCAAUGUAUCUGUUUCAAUAAGCAUUAAUUCAAAGUUUAAAAUUUUUAUAUACUUUUGAGUGAGUGGUUCUGCUCCUCCAGUUUGGAUGUGACAAUAUAAACAGUGUGAGUUGUCAGAGAGAGGAUGUCAAAUGAACUCACACCUUAGUUAUUAUGCUCUAGUGUCAUGAACACAGUCUUUACACUGCUUUUUAAUUUUCACCUGUACCCAGGAGAUUUCCCUGAUAGCUGUUACUCAGUAAAUGUGUUCCUGAAUUAUGGUGGUUUAUGUGAAAAUAUGUGAGCAUUUAAAAAAAAAAAAAAAAGAAAAGUGGAAGUGUUUAAUUCUUCUAAAUGUAACACCAGGUUUGGAGGCUUUUUUGACAGGCAUCUGUAUUUUUUUGUCAGGAAACAAUAAAAUCUUUCUAGUUAUUUAGCAGAGCUAUCAAUGACUUCACAGGUGUGUGCUUUUCACAUUUUCUGAAUAAUGAAAGUUAGUUUAUUGCCUUUGCAACAUAUUGUUCUUUAUACCACAACACUGAUCUGUAUUGAUUUGUAAUUUAAGAAAAGAAUUAUUCCUUGUCAAGGGCCUCAAAUACAUGCUUUGUAAAGCGCAAUAUGAGGAGGUAUCUGUUUUUAACAUUUGAAAAAAAGAAAACUUGCAUUACAUUAUUAUUAAAUUAAAUGGUUGCUGUUGUGUAGGAAAGCAAUCUUUGCUGAUACUGAGAGGGAUUAGAUGUUUUCAAACAUGUUUCAUGUCAUCAUAGCCUUGCAGGGUGAUCUUGGCCAUAUCUUUUAAUUUUUCUGUAUCCUUAGCAUGUUCAUUUGUAAACCACUGUGCUUUGUAUGCCUUGAUAACUCUGAAAAUGAUCACCACAUAAAUUCUGGGUGUUUUUAAGGGUACACUGGCAAGUCCAUUGGCAUAAAUAUUUCUCAGGAGUCAUAUUCACUAAUACUUUCUUCCAUAUAUAAUAUCUAGCUGAGGAUACAGUGAUUGCUGGCUCAUGUACAUUUUCUGCAAUGAUAACUGGUUACAUUUUCAAUCAUAUUUGAGUCUUUUCUGGGCAGCAAAACUGAUGGUUAAAGUCAGGCUGUGCAUAAUAUGUCUCAAUCACAAUUUGAGCAGGUGAUCGUGGUUUAUAGGAGAGGUGCAAGAUGAACUCAGAAAAUGCAAAGCAAUUACUAUAGCCCAACAAAACACUGGAAAAACACCAUAGACAUAGCUGUUAGAUUGCAGUAGAAAGGGCCAAGAAGGUAAGGCAGGGUUCAGAAACAAAUAAAAUGCAGGAAUCAGUACUUGUAUAAUGUCUUAAUUAAUGGCUAGAUUAAUGGAACAGUUGCCCUCUUGGCAAGUUUGUGGAUAACACUGAGUUAGAGGGAAUGGUCAAUAAGUGGAGGCUGGAGAAAUGGGCUGACAGGAACGCAUGACCUGCAGUUAGGAAUUUCCCCUCACAGCACGGCAGGCUGGGAACCAGCUCUGUGAGGAAGAGCCAGGGGUCCUGGUGGGUUGCAAUGAGAGGAAGAGCCAUCAGUGAGUCCUGGCAGCAGAAAUGUCCAACAGCGUUGGGGGCUGAACCAGCAAGUCCAGAGGAGGAUCCUUUCCCUCUUCUUAGCACUAAUACCCUAUUAGGAUUCCUGUCAUGAUUUCUCAGUAAUCCUUAGCACUCUGGAUUUGCAGUACAAAUGAAAAAAAGUCCCAUUCUUUAGUAGAUUUUUCCCAUUUAUUGAAAUGUUAAAAUUUUGCUUUCUUUAUAAAUCCUUGUCCCAAAUUAUGCUACAUUAACUGAGUUUUGAUUUAGGUUUUUUUAGCCCCUUUAUCAUUGCUAAAACAACCUUGUCACUCUAUGUUUAGUUCUGUUAUGCAGUCUGACAAGUAUCAAGAGCUCUUUUUUCCAAGUGUUUUGAUUAUUCGUAGUCAUUUACUUGCCUAGUGUUUCCCAGUUUUACCUCUUACAACCUCUCCUAUAAAACACCCACCACCUGCUCAGAUGGAAAGUGAUCUCUGACCAAUGACCAAAUUUGGGCUCAGUCUGACUGUAGCUCAAGCAACAGGUUCAGGAUCAAGUCUGACAUGUGUAAGCAUAUACAUGAACUUCCCUAGCUAUAUAUUCCUUUAAAAAGUAACAGAUUAUACUGCUGGUUAAAACGAAAAACAAAAAUCUAGGAAUUCGGAUGAGGUUUGAAUAUCUUCAGCUCUCCUUCCUUUCAGUUACUAACAGUGUCUGAGAUGGCUUAGGUGUAGCUGUCUUGCACUGCAGUUCACUCCUUUAAAGCACAAAACAAAUAAUCCCCCAUCCCUGGGGGGAAAGGAAAAGAAGCUGGCAACAGUCCAGGAUUUCCCAAUGGCUGUUUAAAAAUCUAACCAUUCCAAAGUAAUUCAUUUUAAUAUCAUUCAUGUUAGGUUUCCAUAAUUUUGACUGGAAAUUACUCCUGUCAGAAAUUCUCAUGAUUAAAGAAUGCAAUAUAAAUAAACUGGUACCUAACUGUAUAGCAUUGCUAUACCCAAAGACACAUUCUAGUCAUAAAAACUGUCCUAAAUACUUUUGUAAGAUUUGAUUGCUUUCUUGUUCUGAAAAGUGCGUGUACUGUAGAAAUUACCUUAACAGCAUAGUGGAACAAGUAAUCAUGCAGUAAGAGCUGCUACAAUUGUGGGAGUAUUUUUAAAAAUAUCACACACACUGGAUUAAAACCAUACCUUCAUACUAUUCUGUAGAAAUGUCAAGUAGUAUUACUUGUUGAGGUUAUUUUGCUGAUGGGAGUCUCUAAGCACUAAUGAAAUAUUAGCAAUUGAGUAUACUGUAUACUUUUUAAUGCCUCUGUUUCAAAAAUAAUUGAUUACAUUUUUAACUUCGAAGUCCCUCUUCCUUUUCCACAGAACUUACCAAAGCUCAAGUGGUUGUCUUUUUAACUAUCAAGCGUCCUCCACUUUGUCUGCAGAUGCUCCACUUAUAAAAGCUGCGCAAAGUAGAGGUGCAUAGUGGCUUAUUUCAGUUCGUCUUGUAUUUUUUUCCCUUCACUGCUGUCCAGUUUUGCCUGAUUGUGCAUGUCUCAUAUUUUAGAUGACUCCUCAACACCUGAGAUGGAGCAGAUGCUCUUUCCAGGACUCUGUGCAGAUCUUUUUGUGGGGAUAAAGCCUGCAAUGAAAACCCUUCAGGAAAAGAGCUCCUCUCAGACUAUCAGACAGACAGGGUGCAGCAAAGAUUUUGAAGAUGAUACAAGGCACCAUUCAGUGGUAAUAUAAGUUUUUGGCAGGACUGACGUGUGUAUUAAAGAAGGAAAGUAUAUGUAUAUAUUUAUAUCUAUGUCUGUAUAUCUACCUCUAUACUCCUCUAUCCUCUCUCUAUGUAUAUAUCAAAAAUGUAACUAUAAUAGCUCCAUUUUUCUUCUAUGCUCAGUGUUGUGAGCAGUGUGGAAAAAAUUGUACUGAACUACUGAACACUAGUAUUGCUUUUGCAGCAGGGUAUAUUGCAAAAAAGAAUUCCACAGAAUAAUAUAUUUCUGUUGUUGUGUUUUCACCCCAGCCAGCAACCAAGUACCACACAGCAGCUUGCUUACUCCCCCAAAGGCAGGAUUGGAGAGAGAAUUGGAAGGGUAAAAGCUAGAAAACUCCUGGGCUGAGAUAAAAACAGUUUAAUAGGGAAAGAAAACCCAUGCACAUAAGCAAAGCAAAACAAGGAAUUCAUUCACUAUUUCCCAUGUGCAGGCAGGUGUUCAGCCAUUUCCAGGACAGCAGGGCCCCAUCGCAUGUGAUGGUUACCUGAGGGACAAACACCAUCACUCAAAUGUGCCCUCCUUCCCCCUUCUUCCCCGCACCUUAUAUACUGAGCAUGUUGUCACAUGGUAUGGAAUAUCCCUUUGGUCGGUUGGGGUUGCCUGUUCCAGCUGUAUCUCCUCCCAGCCUUCCAUGCACCCCCAAAUCCCCCAAAUUCCUUGCCAAUGUGGAAGUAUGAAAAGCAGAAAAGGCCUUGGCCCUGUGUAAGUGCUGCUCAGCAAUAACAAAAAUAUCUCUAUAUUAUCAACCAGCCCUGUGUUCAGCAACAGGUUUUGGAGGAAUUAUUAUGAUUACAUGGACUGCAUUUUUCUGUAGAACCUUAUAUGUUGAAGAAUUCUUAGUGCAUAAAGAGUUAAAUGAGCUAUACAAAUGUAUAAAUGCCAAAGAUAUCAGGAAACUGGGAUUAAAUGACUAAAAAUACAAGCACUCAUAUUGCCAUUUCUACUCUAGAUAUUGCAUGAACUCCAAUGACCAAUACUGGCAUUGGCUACUAGUGUCUGUUUUUGAACUGUUUCCUGCUUCUCUUCAGUGAGAUUUUCAUAGAAUCAUAGAAUCAUAGAAUCGAUUGGGUUGGAAAAGACCUCCGAGAUCAUCGAGUCCAACCCUUGGUCCAAAUCCAGUCCAUUUACUAGAUCAUGGCACUCAGUGCCACGUCCAAUCUGCGUUUAAAAAUCUCCAGGGAUGGUGAAUCCACCACCUCUCUGGGCAGCCCAUUCCAAUGCCUGAUCACUCUCUCUGUAAAGAAUUUUCUCCUGAUAUCCAACUUAAAUUUCCCCUGGCGGAGCUUAAGCCCGUGCCCCCUUGUCCUAUUGCUGAGUGCCUGAGAGAAGAGACCAACCCCCACCUGGCUAGAACUUCCCUUCAGGUAGUUAUAGACGGUGAUGAGGUCACCUCUGAGCCUCCUCUUCUCCAGGCUAAACAACCCCAGCUCCCUCAGCCUCUCCCCAUAGGACUUAUGCUCCAGUCCCUUCACCAGCCUUGUUGCUCUUCUCUGGACCCGCUCCAGCACCUCAAUAUCCUUUCUGAACUGAGGGGCCCAGAACUGAACACAAUACUCAAGGUGUGGCCUCACCAACGCAGAGUACAGG